CUCAUUUCCCUCUUAGGUUUUCAUUUAUUUAGAUACUCAAUUCUCUUAUUUAACCACCUUAUUGUUUGCGCGUUGAGUUAUUUUUUAGCUUAUUUCUUUCCAGCAGCAGUCAAGUGAUACAUUUAGUUAUACUGAAGCAUACAUUUAGCAUGCAGCAUUCAGUGUAAUACCAACCUUUAGGCAUGCUCAACACAUAAAUUAGAAAAUAAAUGCUCAAAACUAAGGUCAGGUUAUUACAACGCGAACCCUCUUUUUGCUAGAAGUGGAUCCCUAAAUGAAGUUAAGCUCUAUGUUAGGUCUAAUUUUCAGUGGUAACAAUUUAAUUUGCCUAGGUUUAGGUAUGAAUUUUUCUAGCUCUUUAGCUUAUUGUUCAUUCUAUCCAAGAUGUAUUGGUAGUUAGAGCUUUUGAGUUGAUAGUUAAGAAUAGAAAAGUCAAGGUAUUUACUAAUAUAGGAAUGAGUUUUUAUUCCUCAAAAGGUAGAAAUAGUAUUUUUUGGUUGAGGGUGGUAUUUUGAGAAAAAUAACCUCUUCGUUAUUCAAAUACUCAUACAUAAUUUAUGUUAAAUCUGUAACACAAUCACUUGCUUGAACCUAUCAAAAAAAAAAAAAAAAAGACAAAAACACAAUCAUUUGCUUGAAUAAUUUUUGCACCCCGAAACAAAUGAUAUUUCAUAUUGUAUCAUUCCAAUGACUAAUUUGCUCAUACAUGUUUACCUUGACUAUAUGAGAAGGUUCUACCUAGAGUUUGAUGAGUUCUUCGAGAGAGGAGUUAUCUCUGAAUCGUGAUAGAACUUGGUCCUUGUGAAAACUACGGUAUCCAUCAUAUCCUGCGAAAUUCGGGUGGAAAUUUCCUGGAAUUGGUUAAUUUAAGGCAGUUUUAACCUUUUAAAUUGUGAAACAAUUAGUUAUCUACUCUUAAAUUUUUACUCAAUAUAUUGUUAAUCCUGUAUAACUAAUAUUCACAACAAUGCUAUGACAAAUACUUAGUUAAAAACCUGCAAAAGGUAGUAGAGGCAUGCAGAUGCUCGAUCUGGGGUAAAUGAUAUGAGUAUGUAGUUUCCUAUAAUUUAAAACCACAAGAAACUAGGUUUUUUCGUGAUGGGGGAGAGUGUAGUGACUUUUAUGGCAGAUUCUUCGUGAGCUGUUACUCUCAAGUUUUAAUUCGAGUAGUUGGUCUGACAGAUUUGGCAUUUAAAGGCACACCUAUAGCAAAUGUAACCAAUAUAGGCGUGCCUUUGCUGCUAUAUGUGUGACUUUAAAUGGCAAACCAACUACUUGAUCGCCAUAAUCAAUAAAACUUGAGAGUACCAACUCAAGAAGAAUCUGCCAUAAAAGCCACCGCACUCUCCAUCAUCACGAAAAAAUCCAGUUUCUUGUGGUUUUGAAUUAUAGGAACCUACAUUUUCAUGUUCUUUACCCCAUAUUGAGCAUCCGCAUGCCACUGUUAUUUGUUGGCUCUUAACUAACUGCUUGUCAUAGCACUGUUAUGAAUGCUAGUUAUAUAUGAUUAAGGGUAGAUAAAUAAUUAUUUCACCAUUUAAAAGGUUAAAGUUACCUGAAAUUCACCGAUUCCCGAAUACUUCCACCCGAACUUUGCACAAUAUGAUGGGCACUGUAGCUCUCCGCAAGGACUAAAUCCUAUCUCGAUCUCAAAGAUAGCAACAUUGAAUUUCACAGGCCUUGAAUUUUUGACACUUGAUCUGCAAAAGGACUUUCCAGAAGGAUUAGCUGACCCUAAAGGAUUGGUUUGGCAGGCAAAUGUUAUUCUCUGAUGUACAUGAAAUAUGCAAAGCUCAAUCAUUGUUUGUAUUUAAUCAGUCUUGUGGUGACAAGGGCAUGUUGCCUUGCCUCCUAAAUUCCUAAUUGAUGCUUCAACAUUCUCAAUCCCUUUACAUUUUGCCAAAAAAUUGCAAAUAACUAUGUGUUUGUUCUUGUACAGUGAACAAGUCAAGCUAAGUGAGGAGGACUAAUCCUUUUUACAUGUGAGUUCACCAAAAUUAAACUUGGAAGGGCUCCUUUGCCAACAUAUUGUACAAAACUCCAGGAAUCACUUCGUCAUGGGGUGAACAACGACAUGAUGGUUUGUGUAGUCCAAAGGAAAAGAAUGAAGAAAAAUGACUAUGAUAGUGCAGAUCACGAUUUUGGGCCUCCUGACUUUGACAUGCCAGAAAAUGCAGACAUGAACAGCAAUGCUACUCCACAUGGUGAAAAGGAAUCGCAUCUGCCCUUUGACAUUUAUGAAUAUGGAGUAAGGGUUUUGAGCAAGUUAUCCCUGGAAGGAAAUGAUGAAAGCGCCAUGUCUUUUCCUGAUGUUGUCAUGGGUUCGGAGAAGCAUGACAUUGCUCGAACAUUUUCUGCACUUCUGCAAUUGAUUUGUAGGUAACAAUGGAGAUGUUAGUUUGGAAAGAGGCGAAGUAUGUGAGUCCACUUGUUACACGGCUACAAAUCCCUUCUCUAUCCGGCUCCUUAGGCAUGAUAACCGUGGGGGGGAAAUGCAGUUUCAAUCAUAAAAAAAGAGAGUGAAAUCUCCAAUAUGGAUUAAUCUGUGGUCCAUCGCGAUACAGAGAUUCUGAACUUCCUGAUGUGAAUAUGAUCACGUCAAUAAUAAUACUGAGAUGGUUAAUCUGUGGUCCCUUCUCCUUCAUAUGGAUUCCCACAAAUUGGGUUUGUUGCACUAUAGCUAGUUAAGCAACAUAGAUAGUACUUCAGUCUUAGCGCAAAUAAAGAAGGUGAUAGUGGAUCACUUUGCUUUAGCCCCCUGUUAGAAGUAAAGAAACCUUGUCUUACUCCAUUUAUGACGAUAUAGUACGAAUUGGUAGCAAUAGUUUCCCGGACCAUGUUAUAAAAAACUAAACAUAAACCUAUGUGUCUCAAGACACUACACAUAAAUAUAGCCAUGACACCCUGUUUUAGGCUUUCACCAUAUCCAACUUUAUAGCAACAUUAUUACCUUUGUUAUGUUUCUUGAUCCCAUGUAUAAUUUCCUUAGCCAACAUGACAUUCUCAUAAAUGGAUCUAAUUGGAUUUUUUUUUCAUGGUUUUGCAUAUGUAUGCAAACUCUAGUUAGUAAAAAUUGUAUUCAACGAACAUAUUGUACUCUUCGUGAUUGUGGUGAGCAAUAUUAGAAUGUGCAUGAUAUUUACUGCU